rnacentral:rRNA from 1 species
UUCUGCCUACGGGGGGCAGCAGUGGGGGAUAUUGCACAAUGGGGGAACCCUGAUGCAGCGACGCCGCGUGGGUGAAGGAGCGUUUCGGCGCGUAAAGCCCUAUCGGCAGGGAAGAAGGAGGACGGUACCUGACUAAGAAGCCCCGGCUAACUACGUGCCAGCAGCCGCGGUAAUACGUAGGGGGCAAGCGUUAUCCGGAUUUACUGGGUGUAAAGGGCGUGUAGGCGGGAGAGCAAGUCAGAUGUGAAAACCAUGG